UCAUCGACUCGCGUGGGAGCCCUGGGGCUGAGCGGUGGCUCUCUCCUCGCCCGCGUCAAGGAAGAAGGAGCGAGUGAGCGAGCGCAGGACACGUCGUCCUGCUGGGGACAGAGCGACCGUCAGCCGCGGGGGACUGGGGAAGACGCCGGAGCCGCCCGGAGCGCCCCGCCUGUCUAGACUUGGAGCCUGCGUAUGCCCUCGGGAAGAGGAGGAGGAGGGAGGCGGUGGCCGCGCAGCGCGAUCCUUCCUAGUAUCUUCAGGUCAACAGUGUCCUCCAUGCUCUGUUCUUCUUCCUAUCAAAACCUGCUCGCAGAUCGAGUAUUGGUCUCUGUGCCUGAUCCUGCCCCACAAAUCCUGGAACCAGUGUCUGUCAGCAAUGAGAGAUGA
rnacentral:lncRNA from 1 species